rnacentral:lncRNA from 1 species
UAUCAUAUCACAGUUUCUGGCAUGACUUUUCUACCUAACUCCACCCUAUCAUGCUUAAUAGGAUUUCCAUGUGUCACACGUGCUCUGGAGUAUCGGUACGUGCGCCGAAGGAGACAAGGUUCUCUAUGAUUACUUUUCAACGUGAAGAAAAAAGUGUAUGUGCCUCACAUUUAUCUGCUCCAUUUACCAGCAGCCAGCCUCAUCCUGCCUCAGUGAACUUAAUGAGAUUAACAGAUGCUAUUUCUUUAAUCUUCAGGAGAGCACUGUCAGGUAACGGGAAGCCAAUGAUUUUGAGCAAGAAACCAGAAUGGAAGUGGACUUACCCUUGUGCCUCACCACACAAGGCAACGUCUCAAAAGUCCCAGGCGGGAACCUUUCCCUGACUCUUCACACUUACUCCUAGGGAAAACUUCCAGUCAUUCUCUUCCACUGCAGCAGAUCUCACUGAGUCGCGAAGCUCAGCAGACUAUACUGGCCAGAGCCACAGCAGCGAGCUGUAAACCACUAGUCCAUAAGCUCUUUGGUCUCAUGGGAACUAAAAUAUCUGCUCAUGAACGUGGAAGCCAGCCAUCAUUCAUAGUGAUGUCCAUGUUCUAGUGCUUCAUCCAAGUGUUUGUCGUAUCUUUGGACCCCUGUUAACUGAAGACCCAGUCAUUUAAUGGUCUAUAUUUCUGGGCAGUUUUUAGCUAAGAUAUACCACAAGAGUCGUCUUUUCAAACAUGGUUGUUUAACUACAAUUAUCUUAUUUUGGAAAUAACUUUGAAAAUUACUGCCCUAAAAGGUCAUGCUGAAUUAUUCUCUAGUUGUUGUGAGUUUUUGAAAGCAAGAAUCUUGCUAGUCUUUUUUUGAAUUCCCCCCCCCCCAGGAACCUCAGGGUUUACUGACUAACAACAAAUGGUGGGAAAGCAUAGAUUUUCUGGAGCCAUAUGAUGUCAAGAUUUGGUGGGGAGCCUCAAAAGAAGCCCAGUUGUUUAAAUCAUUACAUCCCAAAGGAGGCAGUGUAACAUUCAAGGGGGUUAACUGGGAUGGUGAUGGUUGAAAUGUCAAAAGAUUCUGUGGGGACAGACAUUGUGGCCCACAGGAGAAUCUCUGGAAGAUGACUGGGAAGGAGGCAUGACCAGGACUGGGGACACUGCAGUAGGGGAGACAAGAGCAAGAGAAAGCAUCGGGUCAAAAAAUGAGUACAGGAGGUCGUUGGACAAAUCCUGAUCAAGGCUCCAUGGAGUUCCACCUGGAACCAGGAAGUGGAAGACCUCAGUAUGUCCCCUCCACCGUCAGCACCGCUUGCCUUUGUGUUAAAAAGAGGCGGGAAUGGGGAGUCAGCUGAAGAAUGGGGACCGGUUUCCUUUCUUUGUGCCCCAGUCACCCUCCUUUGUGUACACCCUCCAUUCUGAAUAAACUCUGGUUCUCAGAGCUGAAAUGGAGAGCA